AGCGUAGACGGUGUGGCAAGUCUGAUGUGAAAGGCAUGGGCUCAACCUGUGGACUGCAUUGGAAACUGUCAAUCUAGAGUACCGGAGGGGUAAGUGGAAUUCCUAGUGUAGCGGUGAAAUGCGUAGAUAUUAGGAGGAACACCAGUGGCGAAGGCGGCCUACUGGGCAUUAACUGACGCUGAGGCUCGAAAGCAUGGGUAGCAAACA
rnacentral:rRNA from 1 species